rnacentral:rRNA from 1 species
GAGGCGAUGAAGGGCGUACUAAUCUGCGAUAAGCGCCGGUAAGGUGAUAUGAACCGUUAUAACCGGCGAUACCCGAAUGGGGAAACCCAGUGUGAUUCGUCACACUAUCAUUAACUGAAUCCAUAGGUUAAUGAGGCGAACCGGGGGAACUGAAACAUCUAAGUACCCCGAGGAAAAGAAAUCAACCGAGAUUCCCCCAGUAGCGGCGAGCGAACGGGGAGGAGCCCAGAGCCUGAAUCAGCAUGUGUGUUAGUGGAAGCGUCUGGAAAGGCGCGCGAUACAGGGUGACAGCCCCGUACACAAAAGCGCAUGUGCUGUGAGCUCGAUGAGUAGGGCGGGACACGUGGUAUCCUGUCUGAAUAUGGGGGGACCAUCCUCCAAGGCUAAAUACUCCUGACUGACCGAUAGUGAACCAGUACCGUGAGGGAAAGGCGAAAAGAACCCCGGCGAGGGGAGUGAAAAAGAACCUGAAACCGUGUACGUACAAGCAGUGGGAGCCCCACCACCAAAGCAUUUGCUGUACCGCGUUGAC